rfam:Lupinus angustifolius cultivar Tanjil contig_22490, whole genome shotgun sequence.
AGUUGCGAUCAUACCAGCACUAAUGCACCGGAUCCCAUCAGAAUCCCGCAGUUAAGCGUGCUUGGGCGAGAGUAGUACUAGGAUGGGUGGCCUCCUCGGAAGUCCUCGUGUUGCACCUC